GGAAUCUUCGGCAAUGGACGCAAGUCUGACCGAGCAAUGCCGCGUGAGUGAGGAAGGCCCUCGGGUCGUAAAGCUCUGUUACCAGGGAAGAACGCUUGUGAGAGUAACUGCUCAUAAGGUGACGGUACCUGAGAAGAAAGCACCGGCUAACUACGUGCCAGCAGCCGCGGUAAUACGUAGGGGGCAAGCGUUGUCCGGAAUUAUUGGGCGUAAAGCGCGCGCAGGCGGCUAUGUAAGUCUUAUGUUUAAACCCAAGGCUCAACCUUGGAUCGCAUAGGAAACUGUGUAGCUUGAGUGUAGGAGAGGAAAGUGGAAUUCCACGUGUAGCGGUGAAAUGCGUAGAUAUGUGGAGGAACACCAGUGGCGAAGGCGACUUUCUGGCCUAUAACUGACGCUGAGGCGCGAAAGCGUGGGGAGCAAA
rnacentral:rRNA from 1 species